GGGGGAUAACGUCCGGAAACGGGCGCUAAUACCGCAUACGUCCUGAGGGAGAAGGUGGGGGAUCUUCGGACCUCACGCUAUCAGAUGAGCCUAGGUCGGAUUAUCUAGUUGGUGGGGUAAAGGCCUACCAAGGCGACGAUCCGUAACUGGUCUGAGAGGAUGAUCAGUCACACUGGAACUGAGACACGGUCCAGACUCCUACGGG
rnacentral:rRNA from 1 species